ACCCGACAAGAAGGCACCCUUUGGUGGCAUGCCCACGUUUCGUGGCUCCGCGCAACCGUCCACGGCGCACUCAUAAUCCACCCGAAAGCUGGUCCAUCCUUCCACUUCCUCAAGCCCACCGAAGAAGUUCCCAUCUUAUUAGGAGAGUGAUACAAUGGUAAUGUUGUUGACAUUGAGGAAGAAGGCUUGGCUACCGGAAUUGCUCCUAAUAGUUCAAAUGCUUACACUAUAAAUGGACUUCCUGGUGAUAUAUACGAUUGCUCUCAAAAUCAGACAUAUCAACUCAGUGUGGUGAGAGGAGAUACCUACCUCCUACGCCUAAUCAAUGUUGCACUAAAUAACCAACUCUUCUUCAAGAUAGCCAAUCACAACAUGACAGUUGUCGCCAUCGACGCCA